rnacentral:lncRNA from 1 species
UUUUAAACUCUCGGACUGAAAGAUAAGAACACACACACACACAGGUACAGGAAAUACAGCCAGAUCGGAGCCUUUUCAGACCGCAGGUGACCGGAAGACGUUGCCUUUCAUUCAUUCAUUCUGCUCGCCUCCGUGGAGUUCUUCACUAGCCUACGAUCCCUGAAAGAGAAGUUGGACUUUUUUUUUUUUUUUUUUUUUUAAAGGUCCUUGCGCCCGCCCAGUGGAGAAAAUUGAUGCUCUGGAAGGAAAUACUCAGAGAAUCGGAUCUAGCGUCUCCUAACGCAGCUUGCAAGCAAGCGAAAGGUAAGCCCUGGUUGGUUGUUGACAGGAGAAGAGUUGUGGAAAGGUGUGUGGCUCUUGGGAUGGGAUACGAAAACCUUAAGCGCACCUGGACUGAUUCUAUAUGACUUUAGCGGAGAUGUGGCCACCCUCUAAGCAUAUAUAGAAUGUCAUUAGGUCCGGGAGUUCUCCCAUGUCCCCCUUCCCAAUGCUUGUGACAACCUCCAGAGUUGUCCUGUAAUUCAUCAUGAACACGGAGAAACGCUUUACUCCAGACCAACUCUUGUGUCCUGCAAGGCCUGGUCUUAGGGGUUAAAUCUCCUGAUAAGAUGACAUGGCACCUGGACUACAAUAAGGGACAUAGUAGGUGCUCACAGCUGGUGUCCACGUGCUAUUUUAUUUCUGCCCCUAAUCCUGUGGGCUAGUUGAAGCAGGUCAUUUUGCAAAUUGGGAAACUGAGGCUCAGAGAAAUUAUGAAACUGGAUGACUACUCAGCCUUCAGUCAUUCCCAUGUAACAGGCCAUUAGACCUGGGGAAGAAAUGCGUCCCUCACUCACCUUAAUUCACUGUCAUUUCAUUCUUGUAGUUUUUGUUUUGUUUUGUUUUUUUUCAUGUGACCCCAAAGACUAAUCUUUAAAGUUUGUUUUACUCUGUGUUCACUAGCUGUAAAAAUCUUUUAAAGUAGGUAUGAAGCUAGCAAACACCAAACUUUUGUCUCCAAACUGAAAUGGCCUAUGUUGGUUCUGCUACAUCCAAUCGACAGCCCUUUGUAUGUGGCGGGCUCUUUAGCCCUCUAUCAAGAAGUGGGACUAUUUUAUUUGCUUCUGUCUUGAGAAAGAGAGAACCCUUUCAGGGAAACCAUCUCGAAAUUCCCCAUUUUGCAAAUGAUGAAACUGGGACUCAGGAAGGCAAAGCCACUUUUACCCAAGAUCAUACAGUUUUCCUGUGGGCUAUUGGGGUUCCAAUUGGAACCUGGCUUGUCUAUCACAUGCCUUUUCCGAUAUUAACCAGGGUCACUGCUCCCACAUAAUGAAAAAACAAAACCAAAACACUCAAAGGAGGGCUUCUGGGCUGGAGGGUGGUGAGAAGUGAAUUAAGUGAAAUAAAACAAAAUUGGCAAGUAGGAUGCAGGAUCUUCGCCCUUCACCUUUUUUCCCUGGGAUUCCUCUCUCAUGUGGCUUCCUGGUGUCCCCCCAAAAGCUGGCACUAGGAAAAUGAUGGGGGGGGGGCAGCCACCUUAGUGUGAAAACAGUUAAGCCUAUAUAUCACCUCUAUGGGGAGUUCCUGGCCUGUCAGAGCAGGAAGGGGUUGACUAGUCACCUAAUUUAAUCCCCUCCCUUUACAAACCUCCAGGAAACCGCAAACCCCAGAGAAGAAUGGGCCAGCCAGGGGCUUGUUCCCCUUUGACUCCCCCAGAAUGCCUAUCCUGCUGCUGGGCCCUAAGUGGUCACUCCAUAAAUGUUGGGCCCUUGAUGGAUCACCUUCCCCAGCAUAUUUGCAUUUUCUCUUUAUCAGUAAUUGGCAGAUGAAAGGCUUUGUCCUCCUGUUGAAAGAAUUCCAAGCAUUUGCUGAAAGUGGGGGAGGAGGUUAUUUUGGGCCAAAGGGGGAAGGGCCAAGACCCUUGAGCUCCAGCUUGGCUGAUUGUCCCUGAGGAGCUGAGAGUAGGUGAGGGAGGGCACAGAAGCUGAAGGUGCUUAUUUAAAAGAUGAACUUUUUUUGUAGGAAAACACCAGGCCAAUUGCAUUGGAAAUUAAAUAAUAAUGACUUUCCUGGACUCUCCGGGAGUGUUCUAGCAACAGUAGUCAAAUCCUGCCUAUUAUCCCCAUUCAUUCAUUUCUUCCAUCCUCAAAGGUUGAUGGUGCAGCUCUGUGCCCAAAGACUGAGAAGACAGGAAAGACAAAAGAAGAAACAGCUAAACUUCCAGGCAUACUCCAGGCAGGGGCUGGAGAAGGACUAACAACUUCCCAAGGAAGAGGCUGACUCUGGAUGGAGCCCUCAGAAAUCAGAAUCCAGGAUUUGGGGCUAUUAAGACACUGAAGCUCCUAACUUUUGAGAAUUUAAUAUGCCUUCAAGCAAAGUCCCUCACAUUUGCUAUCUCUUUGAAUGCUUGCCAAAACUCUUUUUUUUUUUUCUUUUUUUUAAAGAGAGAGGGAGAGAGAGAGAGAAAGAAUUUUAAUAUUUUAUUUUUUAGUUAUCGGCGGACACAACAUCUUUGUAUGUGGUGCUGAGGAUCGAACCCGGGCCGCACGCAUGCCAGGCAAACGCUACCGCUUGAGCCACAUCCCAGCCCCCUUGCUCCUCUUAAGGAGGAGCAAUGGUAUAAUUCCUUACUUCUAUAGCUGAGGCUCAAAGAAUUGUCAAUUACUUGGCCAAAUUUUACAGCUGUGAAAUAACGGUAACAGGAUUUGAACCCAGACCUUGUAGGAAUCCAGGGCCCAAGGACUGACCACUCUGUAAGCCCCUUGCAGGGCUGUGCCAUACAACCAGAUAAUGGAAAUAUUGUACAUUUGCAAUUGUUUUCUCUAGCCACAUCUUGCUAUUGAGCCCCUGAAAUAUGGAUACUGGGCUUAAAGAAUUAAAAUAUUUAUUUAUUUUUGGUACUGGGAAUUUAACAAAGGAGCACUUUAUCACUAAGCUACAUCCCCAACCCUUUUUCAUUUUUAUUUUGCGAUGGAGUCUCACUAAGUUGCUAAGGCCAGCCUCCCUAGUCACUGGGAUUAUUUGCUUGUACCAUUGCACCUGUCAAGGAAUUGAAUUUUAAAUUGUGCAUGUGUAUGUGAUGUGUGCAUGUUCUGAGGGUUGAACCCAGGGCCUCAGGCAUGCUGAUCGCUGCUCCACCAUUGAUCUACACCUGCAGUCCAAUUUUUAAUUAAAAAAUUAAAACUGCCCCAGAGUGUUUUCCAACAUUUGUCUUAAUGUGCUUACUAAGCUAUAUAUACACAUCAAGGUCUGAUUUGGCUUCCAGGAAACAUUUGUGGAAUGAGUGAAAGGUUCAUACGGGAAAGAAGUUACUAAUAUCAGUAACCCCUGGAAGAGGACAUCUGGUACAAUGUGAGUGCCUAUGAUGUUAGCCUUUAAACCACUUACUCUGAGAGCCUGCCAGGAACAUGGUACUAUAUGGGAGCCUGAAGAUACAAGUGGAUAUUAGACUGGCCCACCUGCCCAAAUCUUUCAAGGACAAAUAAUUGGUGAUGAAGCAGGAAUCCUAAGACCUGGGUAGCCACUUCCAGACAUACAUUCCAGGGACAGACCAGGCCUGGUGACUCACACCUAUAAUCCCAGCUGCUCAGAGGCUGAGGCAGGGGGAUCACACAUUCUAGGCCAGCCUCUAUAACUUAGUGAGACUCCAUCUCAAAAAAAAAAAAAAAAGAAGAAGGUAGGGCUUGGAAUGUAGCUCAGUAGUAGAGCACAUACCUAGUGUGCCCAGGGCUCUAUUCCCAUCACUAAAAUAACAAUAAUAAUAAUAAUCAGCAAGAUAACUAUUAUAUGUGUAGAAUUUCCUUUGGAAAGACCAAAAAAGGUUGCGGGGUGCUGGUAGAACUGGAGAAAAAUUAAAAGGAACUAUUCUUUAGUAGAAUGUCAGAUUUUACCACAUGUAUAUAUGGCUGUUGCCUGAUUUUGAACCAUACAAAUUCAAGUGUUAUUUUUUUCACCAGUACUGGGGAUUGAAGCCAGGGGCACCCCACCACUGAACUACCUCCAUUUUCAUUUUUUUUUUUUUAAUCUUUGAGACAGGGUUUGGAUAAGUUGCCGAGGCUGAUCUGGAACUUAAGAUCUUCUGCGUCAGCAUCCUGAGAUGCAGGUGUAUGCCACCUUGCCCAGCCCUUUCACUACUUCUUUUUUUUUUCUUUGUGGGGGGCAGUUUAAUGGGGCAAUGAAUCCCCCAAGGGCAUUCUGCCACUGAGCUAAACCCCGACCCAGUCCCUUUUAUUUUAUUUGAGACAGGGUCUCUCAGUUGCUGAAGGUCUAGCUAAAUUACCCAGGCUUGGAAUUUUCAAUUCUUCUGCCUUGGCUCCCUCAAAUUAUAGGGUGCGCCAUCACACCUGCCUGAGUUAAUUUCAUUUUACAUGUUAUAGUGCCUUUUGAAUUUCAUUUUUUUUUUUUUUUAGUGUUGCCUACUCAAAAAUGAAUUCUAGGAAUAGCUUAGAGGUAAAGCACUUGCCUAGAAUGCAUAAGGCCCUGGGUUCAAUCCCAGCAUCUCAAUAAAAAGGAAAAAGAAAGAUGUAGAAAAUAAAAAGCAUUACCAAAUCUUAAAAGAGUUUUGUCCCAUUUUAUAAGACUUUUAUUAACUUUAUCCUGGGGAGACAACAGAUGGUGACAUUUCUGUUAAAGUGAUUGUUCUCAAAGAACUUUUUUGUUUGUUUGUUGUUGGGUUGGUUGCUUUCUAUUUUUUUUCUUUUCUUUUUAAUUUGUUCCUUUUGUAUUAAAGUGGAAAAGUAAGAAAGAACAAAUUAGGGGCUGGGAUUGUGGUUUAGUGGUAGAGCACUUGCCUAGCAUGUGUGAGGCACUGGGUUCCAUCCUCAGCACCGCAUAAAAAUAAAUAAAGGUACUGUGUCCAUCUACAACUAAAAAAAAAAGAAAAGAAAAAAAAAAACAAAUUAUAUACAGAGACCAAUCUUCAGGCCUUAACUAUUUUGGGACGCUUGAUUUUCUAUUUAAAAUUCAGCAUUUCAUAUUCUCUCUCUUCCUAUGUGAGGAUUGGAAAGAACCUUGGAAAUAACAGGUGAGUUAAUUAAAGGGUUAAUGCCAGGAAACGAGUCAUAAAAGUUCAAAGAUUCUUUUAUAAACUUACAUCUUUGGAUUGAUGAACAAGUGUGUGAGCCAAUAGAAAUAAAAAUCCAGGCAUUACUUCAUCGUGCUCAACUGUCAUUGGCUGACAAUCCCUGAGAGAUGGACCAGAGGGCUGGCAGUUAACCCUUUCAGGGUGGAGCUUGCCCUCUGCAUUCAUUUUAAUUUCAAAGAUGAAGCAGGGACAGAAGAAAAGUCUAGAAGAGUCCUCAGAUCCUCAAGUGCCAAGUUUGGAUCUAACCUCAGAAGGCAGACUUUACCUAGCAAAGAAAUACUCAGGGACAAAUUUUCUGGAGAAAAAAAAGUUUUGAACUUUUAAAAUGGGGAAAUGAGCUGACCUUGCCGAGUGGGAGGAGAGGGGAGGAGAGAAGUUUGAUGCACCUUUUGUGCUGUCAGAACAGAGACCUAGGUUGGAGACGAUUCCAUUAAUCUUGCAAAGUGAUCAGUCACUGAGAGGAUUGAAUUGCAUUUCCUGCCCAAAGAUGUAGAGACAGAUGACCUUUGCAGCAGCCCUCAGACCCCCAGCUCACAGCUGGAGAGAGGAUGUGUCAGCAUCUACUUUCGGGUCUCACCCUGCCCUUUGUUCAAAAUUCAAGCCCUUUGUGUUGGAGCUGCUCAGGGGUUUUGGUCGUUGUUGAUGCUGCUGAUUUUUUUAACCGCCCACAUCUUGAGACUUCUGAGAAGCAAACUCUCUAUCUGGCAGAAGAUAAUAUCUGGAGGUGCCCCAAAGAGAGAACCGGAACAGACAUGGGGAAUUUUGAGAGGCCAUUGGACCUUUUGGCUUUAAUUACUGCCCUUUCCUGGGCUCCCUGAGUGCUGCAGGAUGAACCGAUGGAACCAGGAGUCCAGCAGAACUAAUCGUGCCUCAGGUUUAGACGGUUCUGUUAAAAAAAGCUUUGAGUACAUUACCCCCAUGUAAGAGGCAUUGCUAAAACAAAAGCAUUUGCAUAAAGAAAACAUUCUAAAUUCCCCAACAGUGAGCUACCAGACUUUGAACAAAAAUGCUUAAACUGAGUCUCAGUUUCCUGUCUGUGAAAUCAGGGUGGUGAUAAUGCAAUGGCUUGGGGAUUGUCUUCAUUCACAUGAAGAGGACCACCUGGCUUCCAUGACCCUGACAAGGAGCUUCCCCUAACAGGUUAGCUGUCCCCAAGUUGAAGGCUGACGGGGAAGACUGCCUGAGAGGGAUGGCAGAGCCCUGAUUCCCCAGCAGGGCUCCUUCCAAACCUGACCACGCUGUGCUAUGGAUUUGGAUUAAAUGUGCUCCUUUUUCCGCCUUUAGGCCUUUGCACAUGCUAAUCCUGUCCCCCACUCUGUCCUACCCUCCAAACCAAUGGCUUCUCCUGGAAUCUGCUUAGAUAGAGCCUCUUUUCCUUCCC